rnacentral:rRNA from 1 species
UACGUAGGGGGCAAGCGUUGUCCGGAAUCAUUGGGCGUAAAGAGCGUGUAGGCGGCCCGGUAAGUCCGCUGUGAAAGUCCAGGGCUCAACCCUGGGAUGCCGGUGGAUACUGUCGGGCUCGAGUCCGGAAGAGGAGUGUGGAAUUCCCGGUGUAGCGGUGAAAUGCGCAGAUAUCGGGAGGAACACCAAUGGCGAAGGCAGCUCGCUGGGACGUUACUGACGCUGAGACGCGAAAGCGUGGGGAGCAAACAGG